rnacentral:rRNA from 1 species
AUUGAACGCUGGCGGCAGGCCUAACACAUGCAAGUCGAACGAGUGGCGGACGGGUGAGUAAUGUCUGGGAAACUGCCUGAUGGAGGGGGAUAACUACUGGAAACGGUAGAUAAUACCGCAUACAUUCGGAUGAGCCCAGAUGGGAUUAGCUAGUAGGUGGGGUAAAGGCUCACCUGGGCGACGAUCCCUAGCUGGUCUGAGAGGAUGACCAGCCACAAGGGAACGGAGACACGGUCCAGACUCCUACGGGAGGCAGCAGUGGGGAAUAUUGCACAAUGGGCGAAAGCCUGAUGCAGCCAUGCCGCGUGUAUGAAGAAGGCCUUCGGGUUGUAAAGUACUUUCAGCGGGGAGGCGUUACCAACAGAAUAAGCACCGGCUAACUUCGUGCCAGCAGCCGCGGUAAUUC